rnacentral:rRNA from 1 species
CGGAAUGACUGGGCGUAAAGCGCGCGUAGGUGGUUCAGUCAGUCAGAUGUGAAAGCCCCGGGCUCAACCUGGGAACUGCACCUGAUACUGCUGAGCUAGAGUACGGUAGAGGGCAGUGGAAUUUCCGGUGUAGCGGUGAAAUGCGUAGAUAUAGGAAGGAACACCAGUGGCGAAGGCGACCACCUGGGCUAAUACUGACACUGAGGUGCGAAAGCGUGGGGAGCAAACAGGAUUAGAUACCCCUGUAGUCAGGCUAUAACGA